CACGUAGGGGGCGAGCGUUGUCCGGAUUUAUUGGGCGUAAAGAGCUCGUAGGCGGCUCAGAAAGUCGGGUGUGAAACCUCCAGGCUCAACCUGGAGACGCCACCUGAUACUGCUGUGGCUAGAGUCCGGUAGGGGAACACGGAAUUCCCGGUGUAGCGGUGAAAUGCUUAGAUAUCGGGAGGAACACCAGUGGCGAAAGGCGG
rnacentral:rRNA from 1 species